rnacentral:rRNA from 1 species
CCUACGGGGGGCAGCAGUGAGGAAUAUUGGUCAAUGGGCGCUAGCCUGAACCAGCCAAGUCGCGUGAGGGAUGAAGGUUCUAUGGAUUGUAAACCUCUUUUAUAUGGGAAUAAAGUGCGGGAUGUGUCCUGUUUUGUAUGUACCUUAUGAAUAAGGAUCGGCUAACUCCGUGCCAGCAGCCGCGGUAAUACGGAGGAUCCGAGCGUUAUCCGGAUUUAUUGGGUUUAAAGGGUGCGUAGGCGGGUGUUUAAGUCAGCGGUGAAAGUCUGUGGCUCAACCAUAGAAUUGCCGUUGAAACUGGGAGGCUUGAGUAUGUUAGAGGGAGGCGGAAUGCGUGGUGUAGCGGUGAAAUGCUUAGAUAUCACGAAGAACCCCGAUUGCGAAGGCAGCCUGC